ensembl:lncRNA
AGCGUUCUCUGCCACAAAACAUUAAUUGCGUAAAUAUAAUGUUCUCAUUAGGUGUGGAGAAUAUUCCUAUAACAUUUUUAUUUGGCUUCCAAAAGAAUAACAAUAUGGCAACGUUUGGGGAAUCUUCUGUGUUUUCUGACUAGUUCGCUCAUGAAUUGCCUGAUCUUUUGAGUGUAACUACAUGUAGAUGUGCUGGUGAAAUGUUUCUUCAUCUUUCAAACCCUGUAAACCUCCAGUCCAAGAGUUCUGGAUCGAUUUGACCAGCUAACAAAUUUUGGUUUCCCAGAACGUUCAGCUAACGUUAGUUUCUGGUUCCCAUAACGUUCUCUGCCAAGAAACUUUGUUUACAUUAAUUUAACAUUGCAGUAAGGUUUAGUUGUAUUUGGUUUUCCAUAAGGCAACAUUUGUGUUUUUUAUGAAUUACAUGUUCUUUUGAGUGUUUACCUAUAUGUAGAUGUUAUGUAGACGUUUCUUCAUCCUUCAGACCCUCAAGUCCGAUGGUUCUGGCUCGAUGUGACCUCCAGCCAAAGACCGAGGGCGUCGACGCGCGUCACGAAGCGUCCCACGCCGCGGGAGCCGGUGACGCAGAAGACUGGCGAGAUUGUGAGGAGUAAACAAGAGUACGAGAUGCUGUGAAAGAAGCGGAUUACCUCACAUCUCACAUGUCUGACUGGAUGAUUCGCUCUAUUGUGGCCCGAACAAUGACGGCCGCGCGAGUGGGCUUAAAACCGCUAGAAUCGCGCGCACAGAGCGCAAUCUUCGCUGGAGACAGGCAUCAACCGUCAGAGAGCGUUGAGCUCGAGUUUGAAAUGUGCUGAUCCAGUUUAUGCUGCGCAAACGCUUCGCAUUCAGAACGCUCUCAUGAUGAACGGAUGAAGUUUGAUUGAUCGGCUCGAUUCGAGCCAAAUGCUGAUCGCACAGAACGGCUUUUGUUUAUAAACCGGUCGAUGGAAGCUGAAGGGAACUGCUGGAGGACCACAGCCAAACGGUUUGUUUAUUAAAAAGUUAGUAGUGAACUUACGAAAAAGUAUAAAGUUUUACCUCAGUAUCAACAUAGUUUUUGUAAUAAUAGUUUAGUAGUUUUUUCUUCGUGUAGCAUCAUGUAUCUCUUUAAAAGUGCCUUCAGUAACACUGAGAUCUUUCAUCUUUGGACAUUUAAUAUAGCAUUAAUAGUGUUUAUUAGAAGCAAAAUAAUAGGUGGAUUUCUAUAUGCUGUUGUGGAAUAUAACGAUAAAAUUAAAAUACUUUAAAACAUCAUAUAAUGAUUUUAAUGACAAAAAUGUAUCAUUUUAAC